GACGAACGCUGGCGGCGUGCUUAACACAUGCAAGUCGAACGAGACGAUUUAGAAGCUUGCUUUUAUUGAGUCGAGUGGCAAACGGGUGAGUAACGCGUAGACAACCUGCCGCAAAGAUGGGGACAACAGUCCGAAAGGACUGCUAAUACCGAAUGUUAUAUCUCCUCCGCAUGGAAGAGAUAUUAAAGAUGGGCCUCUACUUGUAAGCUAUCGCUUUGCGAUGGGUCUGCGUCUGAUUAGCUAGUUGGUGAGGUAACGGCCACAAGCCGACGAUCAGUAGCCGGUCUGAGAGGGAUGAAACGGCCACACUGGAACUGAGACACGGUCCAGACUCCUACGGGAGGCAGCAGUGGGAAUCUUCCGCAAU
rnacentral:rRNA from 1 species